GUUGUAUAGUCAAGUAAUUAAGUGCAUGUGGUGGAUGCCUUGGCAGUCAGAGGCGAUGAAAGACGUGAUAGCCUGCGAAAAGCUCCGGGGAGGCGGCAAAUAUCCUUUGAUCCGGAGAUGUCUGAAUGGGGGAACCCACCUACUUUAAGGUAGGUAUUGCAACAUGAAUACAUAGUGUUGCAAGGCGAACGAGGGGAAGUGAAACAUCUCAGUACCCUUAGGAAAAGAAAUCAAUUGAGAUUCCCUCAGUAGCGGCGAGCGAACGGGGAUCAGCCCAUUAAGUUAUGUGUGUUUUAGUGGAACGCUCUGGGAAGUGCGAACGUAGAGGGUGAUAUUCCCGUACACGAAAGGGCACACAUAAUGAUGACGAGUAGGGCGAGGCACGUGAAACCUUGUCUGAAUAUGGGGGGACCAUCCUCCAAGGCUAAAUACUCCUGACUGACCGAUAGUGAACCAGUACCGUGAGGGAAAGGCGAAAAGAACCCCUGUGAGGGGAGUGAAAUAGAUCCUGAAACCGCAUGCAUACAAGCAGUGGGAGCACCUUCGUGGUGUGACUGCGUACCUUUUGUAUAAUGGGUCAGCGACUUAUAUUCAGUAGCGAGGUUAACCGUAUAGGGGAGCCGUAGAGAAAUCGAGUCUUAAUAGGGCGUUUAGUUGCUGGGUAUAGACCCGAAACCAGGCGAUCUAUCCAUGAGCAGGUUGAAGGUUGGGUAACACUAACUGGAGGACCGAACCCACUGUCGUUGAAAAGCCAGGGGAUGACUUGUGGAUAGGGGUGAAAGGCUAAUCAAGCCUGGUGAUAGCUGGUUCUCCCCGAAAGCUAUUUAGGUAGCGCCUCGGACGAAUACCAUAGGGGGUAGAGCACUGUUUCGGCUAGGGGGUCAUCCCGACUUACCAAACCGAUGCAAACUCCGAAUACCUAUGAGUACUAUCCGGGAGACAGACUGCGGGUGCUAACGUCCGUAGUCAAGAGGAAAACAAUCCAGACCGCCAGCUAAGGCCCCAAAAUCAUAGUUAAGUGGGAAACGAUGUGGGAAGGCAUAGACAGCUAGGAGGUUGGCUUAGAAGCAGCCACCCUUUAAAGAAAGCGUAAUAGCUCACUAGUCGAGUCGGCCUGCGCGGAAGAUGUAACGGGGCUAAAACUAUGUGCCGAAGCUGCGGAUNNNNNNNNNNNNNNNNNNNNNNNNNNUGCUGGAGGUAUCAGAAGUGCGAAUGCUGACGUGAGUAACGACAAAACGGGUGAAAAACCCGUUCGCCGAAAGACCAAGGGUUCCAGUCCAACGUUAAUCGGGGCUGGGUGAGUCGACCCCUAAGGCGAGGCCGAAAGGCGUAGUCGAUGGGAAAAUGGUUAAUAUUCCAUUACUUCUGUGUAAUGCGAUGAGAGGACGGAGAAGGCUAAAUCAGCCUGGCGUUGGUUGUCCAGGUGAAAGGAUGUAGGCAUGUAUCUUAGGCAAAUCCGGGGUACUCUAUGCUGAGAUCUGAUAGCAAGCUGUACUUGUACAGCGAAGUGGUUGAUGCCAUGCUUCCAGGAAAAGUCUCUAAGCUUCAGUUACACAGGAAUCGUACCCGAAACCGACACAGGUGGUCAGGUCGAGUAGACCAAGGCGCUUGAGAGAACUCUGCUGAAGGAACUAGGCAAAAUGGUACCGUAACUUCGGGAGAAGGUACGCUGUUGUUGGUGAUGGAACUCGCUUCCUGAGCUGACGACAGCCGCAGAAACCAGGCCGCUGCAACUGUUUAUUAAAAACAUAGCACUCUGCAAACACGAAAGUGGACGUAUAGGGUGUGAUGCCUGCCCGGUGCUGGAAGGUUAAUUGAUGGGGUUAGCGUAAGCGAAGCUCUUGAUCGAAGCCCCAGUAAACGGCGGCCGUAACUAUAACGGUCCUAAGGUAGCGAAAUUCCUUGUCGGGUAAGUUCCGACCUGCACGAAUGGCAUAAUGAUGGCGGCGCUGUCUCCAGCAGAGGCUCAGUGAAAUCGAAAUCGCUGUGAAGAUGCAGUGUACCCGCGGCUAGACGGAAAGACCCCGUGAACCUUUACUGCAGCUUGACACUGAACUUUGACCUUACUUGUGUAGGAUAGGUGGGAGGCUUUGAAGCUGGAACGCUAGUUCCAGUGGAGCCGUCCUUGAAAUACCACCCUGGUAAUGUUGAGGUUCUAACUCUGUCCCGUGAUCCGGGACGAGGACCGUGUCUGGUGGGUAGUUUGACUGGGGCGGUCUCCUCCUAAAGAGUAACGGAGGAGUACGAAGGUGCGCUCAGCGUGGUCGGAAAUCACGCGUAGAGUAUAAAGGCAAAAGCGCGCUUAACUGCGAGACCCACAAGUCGAGCAGGUACGAAAGUAGGUCUUAGUGAUCCGGUGGUUCUGUAUGGAAGGGCCAUCGCUCAACGGAUAAAAGGUACUCUGGGGAUAACAGGCUGAUACCGCCCAAGAGUUCAUAUCGACGGCGGUGUUUGGCACCUCGAUGUCGGCUCAUCUCAUCCUGGGGCUGAAGCAGGUCCCAAGGGUAUGGCUGUUCGCCAUUUAAAGAGGUACGCGAGCUGGGUUUAGAACGUCGUGAGACAGUUCGGUCCCUAUCUACCGUGGGCGCUGGAAAUUUGAGAGGAUCUGCUCCUAGUACGAGAGGACCAGAGUGGACGAACCUCUGGUGUACCGGUUGUGACGCCAGUCGCAUCGCCGGGUAGCUAUGUUCGGAAGGGAUAACCGCUGAAAGCAUCUAAGCGGGAAGCCUACCUCAAGAUAAGAUUUCCCUAGGACUUUAUGUCCUCUAAAGAGCCGUUCGAGACUAGGACGUUGAUAGGUUGGAUGUGGAAGCAUAGUGAUAUGUGAAGCUGACCAAUACUAAUUGCUCGUGAGGCUUGACUAUACAACACCCAAGCAGUUG
rnacentral:rRNA from 1 species